rnacentral:rRNA from 1 species
CCUACGGGCGGCAGCAGUGGGGAAUAUUGCACAAUGGGCGCAAGCCUGAUGCAGCCAUGCCGCGUGUGUGAAGAAGGCCUUCGGGUUGUAAAGCACUUUCAGCGGGGAGGAAGGCGGUGAGGUUAAUAACCUCAUCGAUUGACGUUACCCGCAGAAGAAGCACCGGCUAACUCCGUGCCAGCAGCCGCGGUUAUACGGAGGGUGCAAGCGUUAAUCGGAAUUACUGGGCGUAAAGCGCACGCAGGCGGUCUGUCAAGUCGGAUGUGAAAUCCCCGGGCUCAACCUGGGAACUGCACUCGAAACUGGCAGGCUAGAGUCUUGUAGAGGGGGGUAGAAUUCCAGGUGUAGCGGUGAAAUGCGUAGAGAUCUGGAGGAAUACCGGUGGCGAAGGCGGCCCCCUGGACAAAGACUGACGCUCAGGUGCGAAAGCGUGGGGAGCAAACAGGAUUAGAUACCCGUGUAGUC